UACGUAGGGUGCAAGCGUUGUUCGGAAUCAUUGGGCGUAAAGCGCGUGUAGGUGGCUAGUUAAGUUGGAUGUGAAAUCCCUGGGCUCAACCGAGGAAGUGCAUUCAAAACUGGCUGGCUAGAAGAUGGUAGAGGCAGGUGGAAUUCCAAGUGUAGAGGUGAAAUUCGUAGAUAUUUGGAGGAAUACCGGCGGCGAAGGCGGCCUUCUGGGCCAUUCUUGACACUGAGACGCGAAAGCGUGGGGAGCAAACAGG
rnacentral:rRNA from 1 species